GCCAACAUGGUGUAGUGGUCUGAGCAUUGGACUAAGACUCUGGAGGCCAGGGUUUGAAUCCCAGCUUGGCC